GCUCCUAAAAUGAGCAAAUAAGCUGUGCAUCAUCUCUGUGAUUUGGGAAGGAAAUGACUGAAUAUGAUGAAGCCAAUUGAUGAAGAUAUCAAUUGAAUGGCCACCGAGUGCAUCACUGCUACCUGAACCCAUCAGUUAUCUGCUGUGAAGACUGCAUUCACAAUCCGCUCUACUGCGACAGCUCAGAUGUUACGGCCUGUAAAAGUAAACAUCACAGCUAAACAACGAGAGCUAGUUGUGGACAUCUAGACCAGGUGGAGUGUGAGGAGGACCGUCAGAGACUCCAGCCAGCCGAGCCAUGGAUUGCUCUCACUGUUACCAUCAGGCAUGCGUUAUCACAGAACCUACACCAGCAGACAGUGAGACAAGUUCCUUUCACAGGCAAUCAGACUGAACUGAACUCAUACCAGUAAAACCAUACACACCCCACCAACCUCAUAUGCCCUGCACUCUUAUCAGUUAUGCUGACUGGACUCAAUAUUAUUAUGCACCCUGACAUUCUGUUUGCACUAAUUCAUACCGUGCUUUACUGCAGAGAUGUAUGUGUACUGUGAUUAUUAUUGUUUUCAAUUCAUGCUCUUUGUAUAGCAUAAUUUUUAACAUAUAUUGUUCUCUACCUGAAUUGAGUCCCUUAUAUAUGUGUGUUGCAUAUAUAUAUAUAUAUUCAGAAUUUGUAUUUCAUAUAUAUUCAUGAAUUAAUUCAUUUGUCAUCCAUACUGUCACGCUGCAGUCUGCACCCAAGACUUUCAUCACCUGUAUACUUGUG